AAUAGGAUACAACCAUAAAUAAACCAAGAAGUUUAUGAAGAAGGGAUCACUGGAUUUUGUCACUUUGGUACAAGAAACAGGAAAGGAUAUCAUAGACCACCUUACUUAUACGGAAGCAUAGGAGCUGUUGAAGGAAAUUGCUGCCAGACAGUCAGCAGUUAUCACUGACAGCCUGUCCUGGCCCAGCUUGGACCAUCCUCAAGCUAACCAUGAUGGUGUGUUUGCAAGAAUUGUCCAUUUGAUAGACCAUGAUGAAGACCAGCUUUGUUGUAGCAUGCCCUGACAAUACUGUACAAGCCAGAGACCAAAAAAGGGUUAAGUGGUGACUGAUCCUCUCAUCCUCCUUAUCCAGGAAACGUUUUGGAACAACGUGUUGGCACUGAAGAUGUGGAGGACACAGAUUGAUCUCAGUACAUCCUUUGGAUACAUGGACACCUUCAAAGGGACGACAACAAAACUGUACCUGCCUUUUUUUUGAAAGGAAGUAGUUAAUAAAAUUAUUGUUAACAGCUUUUUUAGUCUUGUUGUUUAAGAAUGCUUUCAACAUUUAAGUGGAUAAACGGUUGUUUUAAAUUUGAAUCUUCAGUAAUGCAUUCUUUAUUAAAUGAUGUAAUCUUAUUUCUUUCAAUAUAGCGUAAAUAAUAAGGACAUAAUUAUCCUUUGUAUACAAAAUGAAAACCAAGUUUACUGUUCUAUUAAUCAUUAUUUAUUUAUCUUGUUCUUUUGUCAGAAAUAUUACAGGGGCAUACAUACAGUAUUCCUUAAAUAAAAGGGGCAGUUCUUAGAAAAUUAACAUGUAUUUUAGCAAUGCAUAUUCAAACUUUUUCCACAUUUAUAACCAGCAACAAUAUGUAAGUAUUAUAAUGUAACACAAAUUAAUACUAUGAAUUUACUACUGAUUUUGCCGUGCCUGUCAUCAAAUAAACAUGUUUUACUGAAA